GAUUUCAACUAAAAAAGUCAUCAACAAUAAAGUUGUAUAACUCAUCAAGAUCUAGAACUUUUAUUUUGGUCAUUUCUUCAUCCGACAAAGUGUUAGUAACAUUGUUCACAAAAUUGAUAUAUCUGUGUUAUAGUUUAUAAAACUAGAUAAGAGAUAUGUGAAUUUUGUGAACAAUAUUACUAUCGCUUUGUCGGAUGAAGAAAUGACCAAAAUAAAAGCUAUUGAUCUUGAUGAGUUAUACAACUUUGUUAUUGAUGACUUUUUCAGUUGAAAUC
rnacentral:pre_miRNA from 1 species